rnacentral:rRNA from 1 species
ACAGGGAUUGCCUCAGUAACGGCGAGUGAAGCGGCAACAGCUCAAAUUUGAAAUCUGGCCCUUUCAGGGUCCGAGUUGUAAUUUGUAGAGGAUGUUUCGGGCGUGGCUCCGGUCUAAGUUCCUUGGAACAGGACGUCAUAGAGGGUGAGAAUCCCGUAUGUGACUGGUAGCCUAUGCCCAUGUGAAACUCCUUCGACGAGUCGAGUUGUUUGGGAAUGCAGCUCAAAAUGGGUGGUAAAUUUCAUCUAAAGCUAAAUAUUGGCCAGAGACCGAUAGCGCACAAGUAGAGUGAUCGAAAGAUGAAAAGCACUUUGGAAAGAGAGUUAAACAGUACGUGAAAUUGUUGAAAGGGAAGCGCUUGCAACCAGACUUGCACGUGGCCGAUCAACCGGUGUUCUCACCGGUGCACUCGGUUGCGUUCAGGCCAGCAUCGGUUUCGACGGUUGGAUAAAGGCCCCGGGAAUGUAGCUUCUUUCGGGGAGUGUUAUAGCCCGGGGUGCAAUGCAGCCUGUUGGGACCGAGGACCGCGCUUCGGCUAGGAUGCUGGCGUAAUGGUUGUAAGCGACCCGUCUUGAAACACGGACCAAGGAGUCUAACAUCUAUGCGAGUGUUUGGGUGUCAAACCCAUACGCGUAAUGAAAGUGAACGGAGGUGAGAACCCUUAAGGGUGCAUCAUCGACCGAUCCUGAUGUCUUCGGAUGGAUUUGAGUAAGAGCAUAGCUGUUGGGACCCGAAAGAUGGUGAACUAUGCCUGAAUAGGGUGAAGCCAGAGGAAACUCUGGUGGAGGCUCGCAGCGGUUCUGACGUGCAAAUCGAUCGUCAAAUUUGGGUAUAGGGGCGAAAGACUAAUCGAACCAUCUAGUAGCUGGUCU